AAUCUUGCGCAAUGGGGGAAACCCUGACGCAGCGACGCCGCGUGCGGGAUGACGGCCCUAGUGGUUGUAAACCGCUUUCAGCAGGGACGAAAAUGACGGUACCUGCAGAAGAAGUCCCGGCUAACUACGUGCCAGCAGCCGCGGUAAUACGUAGGGGACAAGCGUUGUCCGGAUUCAUUGGGCGUAAAGAGCUCGUAGGCGGUUCAGUAAGUUGGGUGUGAAAGCUCCGGGCUCAACCCGGAGAGGCCACUCGAUACUGCUGUGACUAGAGUCCAGUAGAGGAGCGUGGAACUCCUGGUGUAGCGGUGAAAUGCGCAGAUAUCAGGAAGAACACCGGCAGCGAAGGCGGCGCUCUGGGCUGGUACUGACGCUGAGGAGCGAAAGCAUGGGUAGCAAACAGGAUUAGAUACCCUGGUAGUCCAUGCCGUA
rnacentral:rRNA from 1 species